rnacentral:rRNA from 1 species
AGGUUGAUCCGGUCUCACGACGAACCCUACAUGCCCACCUAACACAUGCAAGUCCCCCCGGCAGGUUAACUACCUUUACUUGUUUGGUGGCCACCGGCGCAGUGACGCGUAACUGUGAUGCAACCUACCCAGUACUGAGGGAUAGCCCUUCUAAUUUCCGAUUACUACCUCUUACUAUUUUCCGUUCUCAUGUUGGGAACUUUAAACGUUACUGCAACGGAUGGGCAUGCAUCCCAUUACCUACAUGGGAUGGUAACCGCUUGCCUGGGCCACUAUGGGUAGGGGGCCUGAGAGGGUGAUCCGCCCCACAGGACCUGACACCCUCACCACACUCCUACGGGAUGCCACCGUGAGGAAUAUUGGACUUUGGAACCUUAUCCGAACCAACCCUGCGACGUGGGUGAAGACCGCCCUCUGGGUUGUAAACUGCUUUUGUUUGGGAAUAAACCCCUCCUCAAGCAGGACGGGUGAAGGUACCAAAAAAAUAACCACCGGCUAACUCCGUGCCUCUCUGGAUGUUAAUACUGAGGGAGGAUCCGUUAUCCGGAAUCAUUGAGAUCAAAUGCUCCACAGGCUGUCUUAUCCCUCAGUGGUUCAAUCCUAUUUCAUACCUGUAAAACUGCCAUUGAUACUGUAGGGCUAGCAUUCUGUCUCAGAAAGCGGAAGCUGUCAUGUACCACUGACAUGCUUACAUCUGAUCCAGCACGCACUACCCGAGUGUCUCUCCCUGUUUGCUCAUUACGGCUCUCGACUGAGUCUUGGUAUCUGUACAGGGGUACGCAUUCUGCACCGUGUAUUCCUUCAGAUAUCUAUACACUACACUGCUACAUCUGAAAUUCUGUCUACGUCUACAGUGACUCUUGACUGCCCAUGUUGAGUGCUAUUUGCGAGUGAGCUCAGGGCUAUUCGCUCUGACUCACAAAGCAGCUGCAUGAUGCUGUAUGCCUAGUAAGAUACGACUAGCGCUCUCACCCUGCGUAUUAUCCCGACUGCAUAGUUACGGAAUAAGACUGGGCUUCUUAUGGUCCUAACGUCGAGUCAUGCACUCAUACCUACUACCUCUCACGACGUUAAGUGCCUUCAAACCGAGGCUAUCUACUCGGCAUGGGGUGCACUAGAUGCCAGUGCCAAUUCCACGUAUGACUCCGUAGAAGACUGGGUACG